rnacentral:rRNA from 1 species
UACGUAGGGGGCAAGCGUUGUCCGGAUUUAUUGGGCGUAAAGAGCGUGUAGGCGGCUUGGUAGGUCCGCUGUGAAAACUCGAGGCUCAACCUCGAGAUGUCGGCGGAAACCACUUGGCUAGAGUCCGGAAGAGGAGAGUGGAAUUCCUGGUGUAGCGGUGAAAUGCGUAGAUAUCGUAAGGAAGACCAGUGGCGAAGGCGGGUCGUCUGGACAGUUCCGUGACGCUGAGGCACGAAGGCCAGGGGAGCAAACGGG